UUAAGCGACUAAGCGUACACGGUGGAUGCCCUGGCAGUCAGAGGCGAUGAAGGACGUGCUAAUCUGCGAUAAGCGUCGGUAAGGUGAUAUGAACCGUUAUAACCGGCGAUUUCCGAAUGGGGAAACCCAGUGUGAUUCGUCACACUAUCAUUAACUGAAUCCAUAGGUUAAUGAGGCGAACCGGGGGAACUGAAACAUCUAAGUACCCCGAGGAAAAGAAAUCAACCGAGAUUCCCCCAGUAGCGGCGAGCGAACGGGGAGCAGCCCAGAGCCUGAAUCAGUGUGUGUGUUAGUGGAAGCGUCUGGAAAGGCGCGCGAUACAGGGUGACAGCCCCGUACACAAAAAUGCACAUGCUGUGAGCUCGAUGAGUAGGGCGGGACACGUGGUAUCCUGUCUGAAUAUGGGGGGACCAUCCUCCAAGGCUAAAUACUCCUGACUGACCGAUAGUGAACCAGUACCGUGAGGGAAAGGCGAAAAGAACCCCGGCGAGGGGAGUGAAAAAGAACCUGAAACCGUGUACGUACAAGCAGUGGGAGCACGCUUAGGCGUGUGACUGCGUACCUUUUGUAUAAUGGGUCAGCGACUUAUAUUCUGUAGCAAGGUUAACCGAAUAGGGGAGCCGAAGGGAAACCGAGUCUUAACUGGGCGUUAAGUUGCAGGGUAUAGACCCGAAACCCGGUGAUCUAGCCAUGGGCAGGUUGAAGGUUGGGUAACACUAACUGGAGGACCGAACCGACUAAUGUUGAAAAAUUAGCGGAUGACUUGUGGCUGGGGGUGAAAGGCCAAUCAAACCGGGAGAUAGCUGGUUCUCCCCGAAAGCUAUUUAGGUAGCGCCUCGUGAAUUCAUCUCCGGGGGUAGAGCACUGUUUCGGCAAGGGGGUCAUCCCGACUUACCAACCCGAUGCAAACUGCGAAUACCGGAGAAUGUUAUCACGGGAGACACACGGCGGGUGCUAACGUCCGUCGUGAAGAGGGAAACAACCCAGACCGCCAGCUAAGGUCCCAAAGUCAUGGUUAAGUGGGAAACGAUGUGGGAAGGCCCAGACAGCCAGGAUGUUGGCUUAGAAGCAGCCAUCAUUUAAAGAAAGCGUAAUAGCUCACUGGUCGAGUCGGCCUGCGCGGAAGAUGUAACGGGGCUAAACCAUGCACCGAAGCUGCGGCAGCGACACUAUGUGUUGUUGGGUAGGGGAGCGUUCUGUAAGCCUGUGAAGGUGUACUGUGAGGUAUGCUGGAGGUAUCAGAAGUGCGAAUGCUGACAUAAGUAACGAUAAAGCGGGUGAAAAGCCCGCUCGCCGGAAGACCAAGGGUUCCUGUCCAACGUUAAUCGGGGCAGGGUGAGUCGACCCCUAAGGCGAGGCCGAAAGGCGUAGUCGAUGGGAAACAGGUUAAUAUUCCUGUACUUGGUGUUACUGCGAAGGGGGGACGGAGAAGGCUAUGUUGGCCGGGCGACGGUUGUCCCGGUUUAAGCGUGUAGGCUGGUUUUCCAGGCAAAUCCGGAAAAUCAAGGCUGAGGCGUGAUGACGAGGCACUACGGUGCUGAAGCAACAAAUGCCCUGCUUCCAGGAAAAGCCUCUAAGCAUCAGGUAACAUCAAAUCGUACCCCAAACCGACACAGGUGGUCAGGUAGAGAAUACCAAGGCGCUUGAGAGAACUCGGGUGAAGGAACUAGGCAAAAUGGUGCCGUAACUUCGGGAGAAGGCACGCUGAUAUGUAGGUGAAGUCCCUCGCGGAUGGAGCUGAAAUCAGUCGAAGAUACCAGCUGGCUGCAACUGUUUAUUAAAAACACAGCACUGUGCAAACACGAAAGUGGACGUAUACGGUGUGACGCCUGCCCGGUGCCGGAAGGUUAAUUGAUGGGGUUAGCGCAAGCGAAGCUCUUGAUCGAAGCCCCGGUAAACGGCGGCCGUAACUAUAACGGUCCUAAGGUAGCGAAAUUCCUUGUCGGGUAAGUUCCGACCUGCACGAAUGGCGUAAUGAUGGCCAGGCUGUCUCCACCCGAGACUCAGUGAAAUUGAACUCGCUGUGAAGAUGCAGUGUACCCGCGGCAAGACGGAAAGACCCCGUGAACCUUUACUAUAGCUUGACACUGAACAUUGAGCCUUGAUGUGUAGGAUAGGUGGGAGGCUUUGAAGUGUGGACGCCAGUCUGCAUGGAGCCGGCCUUGAAAUACCACCCUUUAAUGUUUGAUGUUCUAACGUUGACCCGUGAUCCGGGUUGCGGACAGUGUCUGGUGGGUAGUUUGACUGGGGCGGUCUCCUCCUAAAGAGUAACGGAGGAGCACGAAGGUUGGCUAAUCCUGGUCGGACAUCAGGAGGUUAGUGCAAUGGCAUAAGCCAGCUUGACUGCGAGCGUGACGGCGCGAGCAGGUGCGAAAGCAGGUCAUAGUGAUCCGGUGGUUCUGAAUGGAAGGGCCAUCGCUCAACGGAUAAAAGGUACUCCGGGGAUAACAGGCUGAUACCGCCCAAGAGUUCAUAUCGACGGCGGUGUUUGGCACCUCGAUGUCGGCUCAUCACAUCCUGGGGCUGAAGUAGGUCCCAAGGGUAUGGCUGUUCGCCAUUUAAAGUGGUACGCGAGCUGGGUUUAGAACGUCGUGAGACAGUUCGGUCCCUAUCUGCCGUGGGCGCUGGAGAACUGAGGGGGGCUGCUCCUAGUACGAGAGGACCGGAGUGGACGCAUCACUGGUGUUCGGGUUGUCAUGCCAAUGGCACUGCCCGGUAGCUAAAUGCGGAAGAGAUAAGUGCUGAAAGCAUCUAAGCACGAAACUUGCCCCGAGAUGAGUUCUCCCUGACUCCUUGAGAGUCCUGAAGGAACGUUGAAGACGACGACGUUGAUAGGCCGGGUGUGUAAGCGCAGCGAUGCGUUGAGCUAACCGGUACUAAUGAACCGUGAGGCUUAACCUU
rnacentral:rRNA from 3 species